rnacentral:lncRNA from 1 species
UAGUAUAUUUUGCUGAAUGAUUAUUUUAUGUACACAUCGAUUUACUUUUUGGUUUAUGAGAUACUAUUUUCAUUUACUUGUGUUUUAAUCUAGUUUAUAAUUACUGAAUGUUUGUUUUAUAUGUACAUAUAGAUUUGCUUUAUGGUUUAUGGACUAUUGUUUUGGUUAACUUUGUAUUUUAGUUAUUGAAUAUUAUUUUAUUUAUUUUGAUUUACUUAUUUUUUAA